rnacentral:rRNA from 1 species
GUAGAGGAUGCUUCUGGGCAGCGGCCGGUCUAAGUUCCUUGGAACAGGACGUCAUAGAGGGUGAGAAUCCCGUAUGCGACCGGUUGGCACCCGUCACGUAGCUCCUUCGACGAGUCGAGUUGUUUGGGAAUGCAGCUCUAAAUGGGUGGUAAAUUCCAUCUAAAGCUAAAUACCGGCCAGAGACCGAUAGCGCACAAGUAGAGUGAUCGAAAGAUGAAAAGCACUUUGGAAAGAGAGUUAAAAAGCACGUGAAAUUGUUGAAAGGGAAGCGCAUGCAACCAGACUUGUCGGCGGUGUUCCGCCGGUCUUCUGACCGGUCUACUCGCCGCCGACAGGCCAGCAUCGUGUGGGUGCGCCGGAUAAAGGUGCCGGGAAUGUGGCCCCUCGGGGUGUUAUAGCCCGGCGCAUAAUACGGUGCCGCCCGCGCGAGGUCCGCGCUUCGGCUAGGAUGCUGGCGUAAUGGUCGUAUGCGGCCCGUCUUGAAACACGGACCAAGGAGUCUAACAUCUGUGCGAGUGUUCGGGUGUCAAACCCCUACGCGGAAUGAAAGUGAACGGAGGUGGGAGCUUCGGCGCACCAUCGACCGAUCCUGAUGUCCUCGGAUGGAUUUGAGUAAGAGCAUAGCUGUUGGGACCCGAAAGAUGGUGAACUAUGCCUGAAUAGGGUGAAGCCAGAGGAAACUCUGGUGGAGGCUCGCAGCGGUUCUGACGUGCAAAUCGAUCGUCAAAUUUGGGUAUAGGAGCGAAAGA